rnacentral:rRNA from 1 species
GACGAACGCUGGCGGCGUGCUUAACACAUGCAAGUCGAACGGAAAGGCCCUGCUUUUGUGGUGUGCUCGAGUGGCGAACGGGUGAGUAACACGUGAGUAACCUGCCCUUGACUUUGGGAUAACUUCAGGAAACUGGGGCUAAUACCGGAUAGGAGCUCCUGCUGCAUGGUGUGGGUUGGAAAGUUUCGGCGGUUGGGGAUGGACGCGCGGCUUAUCAGCUUGUUGGUGGGGUAGUGGCUUACCAAGGCUUUGACGGGUAGCCGGCCUGAGAGGGUGACCGGCCACAUUGGGACUGAGAUACGGCCCAGACUCCUACGGGAGGCAGCAGUGGGGAAUAUUGCACAAUGGGCGGAAGCCUGAUGCAGCAACGCCGCGUGCGGGAUGACGGCCUUCGGGUUGUAAACCGCUUUCGCCUGUGACGAAGCGUGAGUGACGGUAAUGGGUAAAGAAGCACCGGCUAACUACGUG